rnacentral:lncRNA from 1 species
CUACUCACUUCGCUUCCACUUAACAGUCUUCUAGGUGCUUCCUGGAUCUCAGAGGAAGAGUCAAGACCAUAACGGAGGGACACCUGCAAUGCCUACCCGUGUUUUUCAUGUCACCCUCCUACUACAGCAUGCACAAAUGAAGCUGUCAGCUUCAGGAACACUGCAUUCAAACAUUUUCUACUUUUUUUAAUUUUACUAUCUUCUUUAAUACUAUACUCCUUUAGAGAGAAAUAUCACUUUCUAAUACUUUUAAAAAAAAUUUUUUUUUUUUGAGACGGAGUUUCGCUCUUGUUACCCAGGCUGGAGUGCAGUGGCGCGAUCUCAGCUCAUAGCAACUUCUGCCUCCUGGGUUCAGGCAAUUCUUCUCCUCCCUCAGCCUCCUGAGUAGCUGGGAUUACAGGCACAUGCCACCAUGCCCAGCUAAUUUUUGUAUUUUUAGUAGAGAUGGGGUUUUACCAUGUUGCCCAGGCUGGUCUCAAACUCCUGACCUCAAACGAUCUGUCCAUCUCAGUCUCCCAAAGUGCUGAGAUUACA